UGAUGGUGCUGGGGAGGCAGAGCCAGGAGCUGCUCAGGGGCUUCCUCCUGGCCCUGCUCCAUGAUUCUGAGCUGCUGGGGACUGUGGUCUGCAGCCACCGGUGUCCCCUGGCACCCAGAGGUACUGGUGGCACGCGUUUCCUGCUGUCCGUGGGGAUCUGAACUUCCCUCCUGAGGUGACACAAAGCCCAGCUCGGCCUCCACGCUGCUGAGAAUUGCUGUUGCUGUAACAGGAGCGGAUAUAAAUCUCACAGAUAUAUUAUUUUUUUCUUCCUUUCAAAUGUCCUUAUUGCUGCCCAGAGUGGUGUGCACACAGGGAAGGAGCUCCUUUGCUCUCUCACAUAGAGACGUGGUUGGUUUGCAGGCCUCAGACAGGAACGUGUGGUGUGAACGUCCCAAUCCUGGCUCAACAGCAGGAGGAGCACAGUGUGGGCAGCCUGUUGUGACUCUGUGCUGGAAUUACCUGGAGGUGAAACUCCCCGAGGAGCUGGGACCCUCCCCAAGUAGCCCAGAAGCUCUUGCCCCAUGCUCCUGUGUCCCCAUUUGAGGGGAUGAAGGGCCUGCAGUGGCUGUCCCCCCCAAAAAAACUGACAGAGCACUGCUGUCCCAUGCACAGUGUCCGAGGGCAUGCUGCCAUCCCAAGCGAUGUGGUUUUUUGGAUAAACCUUAUCCAGCACAGCACGGCACAGACGCUGCUGGAGAUUGUGUGACCGUAACCCAGCCUGGCACUGGCAUCGCUGGAAGGGCUUAGCGUGAAGAGAACAGUUCUCCCCAUGUCUGCAGGUGUUGUAGCUUUCAGUGCUAAUUCUUGCGUGUUUUAAUUCAUCCAUAACCAAUAUAAUCUUCAAAGCUUAAAUACAUCUUGGUGCGAUGCUUCCAUUGUCAUUCCCUUUUCCUUUGAACUCCUGCGAGGAAGCCUCUGAGACCCCACAGCUAUUGCUUUGUGUUUGCUUUUAAUCAGCUUGCGUUUCUUCUGAAAAACAAACAAUACCACAACGGCUUCUCCUUGGAAACUUCCGCACGUUUCCAAGAAGAAGAGAGCGUGAAAGCAUGAUUUGUUAAUUGCUGAAUUCCUUUCCUUGAUGUCUUCCUUUCUUGUUAUCUGUUCCGAGGCAAAGGGAAUGGCUCGCUUAAUUUAGUGGGGGAAUGGGAGGGUGCAUGUGUAAGUGGAAGCACGGUGACAGCAUCACAUUGGUGUGAUGCCAGGGAUGUCACCAGGGUGUCCCCACAGGUGCUGGCCCAGCCAGGUGAAGCUGCAGCCCCUGCCCCAGCCCGAUGCCCGGCACAGCCACGGCGCCUGUAGGGAAAAGCAGUGAGUUUGGGAUCGUUUUUCUGCUUCUCAUCUUUGCUCCCUGCUGGAGCUGAUUUAUCCCUGCAGCCUGCACAGCUACAUCCAAGCGGGGCAUGUUUCGCCUUUGUGCUACAGGAGAUCGCUGUAAAUUAUUAGCUUCUUUGUGUCAGCCGGAGCCCGACGCAGCCCAUAAAACUUUCUGGCCAUGUUAUUGCGCUGGAGCGUGGCACCGGGCUGCUGGCAGCAAGCUGCCCAGGGGAGAGGUUGCCAGCUCAAAGGAUGCGUUAUUCUCCAGCAUGUCCCCAUCCUUGUCCCCAGGAUCGCCCACAGGCUCUGUGAGCACGUCUUUCCAGCACAGUGCAGCCUCAAAGGGGAGAGACCUGUCCCGGCUGCCGACCCCUUCCCAAACAGCCUCCAACCUGUUCCAGCUCUGCAGGGGCCAUGCCCACCCCUCCCGUGCCAAAGCACCCUGCAGCGCAUGCUUGACGCUUUCAGCUGGAAGAAUUGUUGUUGUUCUUAUUAUUAUUUAUUAAUGAUUAUCUCUGAGCAUAGAAUCGCUGAGAUUAAAAUUCAGAGGUCUCUGGGCGAGAUCACAGCCUGUUCGAUAUAUAUUAUCAGUAAGUGGUGUGCGCACAAGGGUGGGGUGGGGAGAGAAGGGGAUCUCACGAGAGCCACAAAAACCGGACUUUUAAUUUAAAACUAUCCUUCACUGACUUGUGCAUCUCUCCUGCAAGCCUAUAUUUUAUUUCCCCCUGUGCAGCAGUAAUCAGAAGGUAACAAGGGAGAAGGGGAAGCGGAUUAUCUUCCAGCUCUAUCUGGCUGAUUUCAGGGCUGUAAAUUAUAGAUAUAUAUGGUACAAAGGAGUGCUGGGAUAUUAAUUUCUGUUGUUGAAAAUCACAGACCCUCUGC